UAGUAUUGUGGCAUUUCUACGGUUUUAAAAUUUGGUCACUCUGUAACACAUUAUGACGCUCGCAACUAGAAAUAAUAACGAUUUUAGAAACGAAAAUUAGGUCGAUAUCCGUUAGCCGAUUUUGAAAACCCCUCGGUUUAAGCGCCCGUGUAUAUUUCCCAUUUAUUAAUGAUUUGAAAAAUUACUACUGCACUAAUUUACGUAUUUAUAUUGGUCCAUUUAAAAGGUGUACAAAAAUUUGUACAUCAGUGGACGUCAAGCAAACCUUAUGGAAUAAUAACCUUGAUUGUAAAUGUCUGUGAAACGUGAUCAUAUGGACAUUUUCUGUGCUGCCUAUUGAAUAACCUAUUUACAUGUGUGCUCCUCGAGUACCUUUGUACAUACAUCGCAUUUAACCUGGCAGCACCAGUGGAAUUUGCAGUUGCAGCGCUCACGAACGAUGAUAUUUUUGGUGUUGUAGCCUCGGCCACAGCAGAGUAUACCGCAGCCAUCGAGACCCGACGAAGACUUGUUACAGACACGACCAUGCGUACCUAAAAGAUUUCAAUUAGAAUUGUUUACCAAUACUGUGCUACACUGUGAAUGACUUACCUGUCCACUGCAAUAGACGAUUGGUACGACACCA